ACCACGCCGCGCGCCAGAUCUACCACGCCGCGCGUGGUUGCAAAUCCAUCACUAUGCCGCGCGUGAUAACAGAAUCACGCGGCGCGUGAUCGAGUCAGAGAACAAUCUUCUUCUUCAGCAAAGCUUCACGCCGCGCGUGGUAAGGCAUCACGCCGCGCGUGGUCAAGUCAGAGAGCAAUCCAGUUCCUGAACAAAACUUCACGCCGCGCGUGGUCAGGUCUCACGCCGCGCGUGAUCAGAGUGGAAAUCUUGGCUCCCUGUGAGCUCCAUCACGCGGCGCGUGAUGGGCUACGCCCCCAGCGUAGUGAAAAUCAUUCAUUUCCUGCAGUUUUUCCUGUUUUCUUGCCAAACAAGUAAUCAAGCUAAUGGUUAGAUUUCUCUCAUACUUAUUGCUAAAAACCUACUAAAAUGUAUCUAAUGUUGCUAAAAUAG
rnacentral:lncRNA from 1 species